AAAAUCUUUAAUAAACUUAAAAAUCUGGUCAUGGUCAAUUGAAUAGAACAUGCAGCUAUCUUGACCAUGGUAUAAAUUGCCUUAGGGUUGUAAUUAAGGUUCUGGCCAAAUAUAUAAUGUAUCUAGGUAUUCAAUUGGUUUUUAGUUUUGUCUUCUUUGAUUUUAUUGGUUGUUGAUAUUUCCCUCCAAAUUCUUGGAGCUGGUUUGUCAUAUUUCUUUGUCACAUCAAAGAGAGUGGAGGUGUUUUCGUAAUCUGAAAGCUGACUUUUGAAACGUAACAAACUCUACUUCUUGUUGCCAUACCAGAUAGUACACUGUACAUACCAUAGGGUUAUAAUACUGAACAAGAGCGCAUUCCCAUAGAAUGGGCUAUUCAUUUGUUUACCAUCUAUCUUAAUAAAUAUUGGAGAUGCCCAGAACCCGAACAGGCGUUGUUUGAUUUCCUCAUCAUUCAACAAAUAUACCCUCUGUUACAAUGAAACAGAAUUGAAAAAAAAAGACGAGUCAGUGUAAUAUAGCAUUUAAAA